CUAGAGAUAGAAAGUUACUUCGGUACAUCGGUGACAGGUGGUGCAUGGUUGUCGUCAGCUCGUGUCGUGAGAUGUUGGGUUAAGUCCCGCAACGAGCGCAACCCCUAUCCUCAGUUGCCAUCAUUAAGUUGGGCACUCUGUGGAGACUGCCGGUGUCAAACCGGAGGAAGGUGGGGAUGACGUCAAGUCCUCAUGGCCCUUAUGACCAGGGCUACACACGUGCUACAAUGGCCGGUACAAAGAGUUGCGAUACCGCGAGGUGGAGCUAAUCUCAUAAAGCCGGUCUCAGUUCGGAUUGGAGUCUGCAACUCGACUCCAUGAAGUUGGAGUCGCUAGUAAUCGCGGAUCAGCACGCCGCGGUCGAAUACGUUCCCGGGCCUU
rnacentral:rRNA from 1 species